CCCUCAUGCAAUGGAAAAUGAGUGAGAGCAGCGAGCCUGUGAGCAUUGUUCAUGCCAGGCAAGAGCCGUUCAUUUGGGAGCCAAGCAGAUGCCACUGUCAGUGAGAUAAGUGUCUGUUUUGCUGAGGGUUCUGUUAACAGCCCAUCUGACUCCAGCAGUGUGUCCUCCGCAGGAGAAGGUUGGAUCCAGGAGGAUGACUCCAGAUGUUUGCAGAGGAAUCGUCCAGGAGCCCUCGCCGGAGGAGAAUAUGCAGUAGUGGAUCUGAGAAGCCUGGACAUCCUUCUAAGGAGACAUGAAUAGUCCUCGGGUUUCUGCAUAACUGGCUGUUCCUCAUCUGUACUUGCUGUAGUUGUCUUCACAGGCCGUGUGCUUCCUCCUUGGGUACGGGGCUCUGUGGCUGGAGAGGGCCCAGAAUCUGCUCUGCGGAGUGACUAUGUUGGGUGCCAUUAUGAGGGCCAAUGUAGACAGGAGAAAAGGGGCCUGAACCCUGAUUACAGGGCGGUCACCCUUUCUUUAGUAAAAUACGCCUCCUUUAAACUCGGUGUGUGCAGGGGGCGGGGGGAAGUCCCCAAUGUGAAAAGAUCUGGAAAUGAACAGGUAAGGGAGGGAUCCUGCUGAGUGUCUCCUUUCCGAUCAUCCUCCAUCUCUCAGCGACACCCUUCCGGACUUACCUUCCUACCUCACCAAGAAAAUAACUUUGUGCUCCCUAACCUUUACCAGAAAAGACCCCUCUUCCUUGUGACGCAGUCCUGUUAGUAGGGUUAGGUGCACCCACGUGCUGGCUCUGAAUACCACCGCAUGUGCUUACAACACCUGAACAUCAACACAUUUCAGAAAGGAUAGCCACAUCAAUCCCUUCGGACGUAGCCCUAGGAAUCUCCUCUAUCUCCAAAGAGACACAAGGCCUGGAAUUUGGACACAGCUGAGGGAGCUGUCCGAAUGUCUACAGUUGAACACUCAUCAGUGCGACGGUGUCUUUCUUGUGCACAAGAAAACACAGGGUCAAAGUUGUGGUUGGUUGAGCGGUGUAAAUUGGGCAGGGCAAAAGGACUUGAGGAAGGAUGAGAUGGAAGUGAGGGUCUGAAAGGAGCCCCCCACCUCACCUGUUCAUUUCCAGACUGUGUGACAUUUGCAUGGUUGGGCCAUUUCUUGGCUUUUUUGAGAAAAGGGGCGAAUUUUCCACGGCCUCCACCAUCCCCUUACAGCUGCCCCUUCGCCACACCAUGUUGCAUCUGACCUGGAUAGGUCGCAAGUAAGAUUUCACUUCAAAUCUCAAAAAAGUCCAGUAGAAAUAAUUGUGGGGGAAUUUCCUGUCACUAAGAGAAACGGAAGCUCUAGCCUUCUCAAGCGGUGGGGUGUCACUCAGCCACAGGCACAAAAAGGCUCCCCUAGUUUAGGCGUGCGAGGGAUAAGACCUUACACCCUGGUUACAGGGCAGUCAUUUUGCUGGGCGUGUCAAAGUGACCUGUGGUUUAAUUUGCUUGGCAAAGGAGACCCAAACCUUCCUUUCAGGGUGGUCCUUAGGAGAGCGUGGUCUCAUUGCCCAGCAAGUGCCAGCGGCCCAAGAGGAGCUAGAAAGGGGAGACCUGCACCCUUCUCACAGGGAUUGGUCAGUGGCAAAGAGCAUUUUAAAGGCUAGGUCCUAAGGAGCUCAAAGCCACAGAGACCUUGUGGUGAUCUGCGUGUAAUGUAAUAUCUCAUUGUAAGGUGACGAGGCCAGCAAGAGUUAGUUAACUCACAAACUGACCUUGACCCAUGGCCAAACUUUAAAGACUGGUUAGGAAGAUAUGUAAAGGAAUAGAGGUUUGAAAUGCAGCCUGCAUUGUUAGAGAUUUACCCUUCUAUGUUAGCUCAGGUCUUGUCUCUUUCUAUAGCUGUGAUUCAAAGAUCAAAAAAGCAAUAUUAACAUUUAGGAAGACACUGGAGUGAGAUAACGUUAUUGUCUACAUCGGGGGUCGGCAACCUUUCACAAGUGGUGUGCCGAGUCUUCAUUUAUUCACUCUAAAAUGUAUUACUGGCACGCGAAACGUGAAGGUCUCUUUAGUUCUGUAAUAUAUAGACAUAGAAACUAGUGUUGUAUGGUAAAAUAAACAAGGUUUUCAAUAUG